AACGCGUAGUCAACCUACCCUAUGGACGGGGAUAACCUCGGGAAGCUGAGAAUAAUACCCAAUAGAACAUUAUGCCUGGAAUGGUUUAUGUUUCAAAUAAUUUAUUGCCGUAGGAUGGGACUGCGGCCUAUCAGUUUGUUGGUGAGGUAAUGGCCCACCAAGACUAUUACAGGUACGGGCUCUGAGAGGAGUAGCCCGGAGAUGGGUACUGAGACACGGACCCAGGCCCUAUGGGGCGCAGCAGGCGAGAAAACUUUGCAAUGUGCGAAAGCACGACAAGGUUAAUCCGAGUGGUUUCUGCUAAAGGAACCUUUUGUCAGUCCUAGAAACACUGAUGAAUAAGGGGUGGGCAAGUUCUGGUGUCAGCCGCCGCGGUAAAACCAGCACCUCAAGUGGUCAGGAUGAUUAUUGGGCCUAAAGCAUCCGUAGCCUGCUUUGUUAGUUUUCGGUUAAAUCCAUACGCUCAACGUAUGGGCUGCCGGGAAUACUGCAAAGCUAGGGAGUGGGAGAGGUAGACGGUACUCGGUAGGAAGGGGUAAAAUCCUUUGAUCUAUUGAUGACCACCUGUGGCGAAGGCGGUCUACCAGAACACGUCCGACGGUGAGGGAUGAAAGCUGGGGGAGCAAACCGGAUUAGAUACCCGGGUAGUCCCAGCUGUAAACUAUGCAAACUCAGUGAUGCAUUGGCUUGAUGCCAAUGCAGUGCUGCAGGGAAGCCGUUAAGUUUGCCGCCUGGGAAGUACGUACGCAAGUAUGAAACUUAAAGGAAUUGGCGGGGGAGCACCAGAAGGGGUGAAGCCUGCGGUUCAAUUGGAGUCAACGCCGGG
rnacentral:rRNA from 1 species